rnacentral:misc_RNA from 1 species
GCCCCUUUUUUCUUCUUCUCCUCUCUUUUUCUCCUUCUGCCCUUCUCUCUGGCUUCCUUCUGAAAAAGUUAUCUAACAGUGAAAGAAAUUGAAAAGGAUAGCUUUUCUGCUUUCUUUCUUUCGAAUACUUUCCGGUUUUGAAUUGCUUUGUAAUCGUUAAUUUAUUUUAAUUUUUGGCAAUUUAGCGCCAUGUCACUGCGGAGGCGUACCUUGCUCAAGG